ensembl:lncRNA
GCUAAUGUUAAAAAGGCAGAUAGCAGCACCAUCAAGAAGAAUCAAAUCAGUUCCAAAAAAGAAAGUGAAUCAGAAGAUAGUUCAGAUGAUGAACCUCUAAUUAAAAAAUUGAAGAACCCUCCUACAGAUGAAGAGUUAAAGGAAACAGUAAAGAAGUUAUCGGCCAGCGCUAACUUGGAGGAAGUCACAAUAAAGCAGAUUUGCCAAGAGGUAUAUGAAAAUUACCCUGCUUAUGACUUAACUGAAAGAAAGCAGUUCAUAAAAACAACUGAAAAAGAGCUGAUUUCUUGAGAAAGAGGACAAAGACAGUUGACUUGUACCCAUGGAUUUAAAGAUCUGAUUUAAAACAUUAUACCAGCAAAGAGAAUGUAUUUCCUUUUCUAAAUGCUUGCAAGCAUUGUGUUGGUAGAACUUCCUGCUGACCUUUUUAAUCUUGAGUGUUACAUAAUUUGAGUGUGCCAUUUUAAAUUGCAUUUCUCUGCAGUUUUUAGUUUAAAUUUUUGCAUGGCAGUAAGUGUCCCUUGCUUUUAUAGUUGUAUUUUGUACAUUGGAUUUCUUUAUAUAAGGUUACAGAUUCUUGAACUGUAGUUUUUAGGGUGGGCUCAAUGUUAGCUUAAGACAUUCUUUUAGGAGUUCCUGUUGUGGCUCAAUAUUUUUAAUCCAGAAGAACAGAAACUAUUAUAACUGGCAUUUAUACAUGUAGAGACUAUUGCAGUAUUUAGUACAUGAAAUAUUUUGAGUACACAUCUGUCAGUGUGAACACUCGGUGGCAGUGUGUUCAUCAUAUUAAAAAUACCCAAGCUUCAGCUGUCCAGGUGACUGAACCAGAACUUUUCUCCUUCAAGUGUAUAUAUGUCAAAUUUUCAGCACGACAAGAGUGACAGAUGUUAUUUUUGUAUUUUUAAAAACACAUUUGUUAUAUAUAAAGUUUUUUAUUGCUUUUGUCCAGAUCAAUUUUUAAAUUAAUAUAAAUAGGUAUCUUUACAGUUAAAAACUAUGAAAUGUCAGUGUUCAGCCAGAUGGUAUGACAGAGCAGUGAAAGUCAGAAUUCAGGGAAGAAAUCACUGAAGGAACAGAUAGUUCUCUGCUUUGCUUGGGAAAUGUCAUCUAUUUGUAGUUUUAGUGUUAACUCUGUGACACUGUGUGUAGAUAGAUACAUUUUAUCUUAAGGAUAGAACAAAAUCAGCACGUCAAAACUUCAAAAAUUUGGGAAAGAUUGGGGUUCAGUACAAGCCCGUUUGGCUUAUAAUAAUGAAUUGACAUUUAUUGACUGCUUUUGCCCAUAUAAAAUCCUGAUAGAGGAAAUCUGGCCACCUUUAUAAUUAUGGAAAAGUCCCCACUGUAAUGCCAGAAGAUGGUAAUAUGUAGAUAAUGUGUAGAUGUGGGUAUCUGACAAAGUAUUUAUCAAAAGUGAUAAAAGGAUUAUUUUCAAUGUUAAAAAAUUUAAUGUAUUCAUGGAAUCAGGGGUAAUAGACUUUAAAUAUUGGCCAAUUGGGAUUCUAAAUGAUCAACAUAAGGAUGGACCACUGCUGAAUGAGACUGAUUUUGUCUUUCAAAUUUGACUGUCUUAGUCAGUAUAUUAAAUCUCUGAAUUUGAAAACAAAACAUGCUGCUUAUGCAAGAAUUAGCCCUUUGAUAAACUAUUGAGUGUUUAAAAUAUCUUUUCAUCACAGAACAGAAAUAUAUAAAAAUGAUGUUGACUGUACACAGGUGUUUUCACAGGUUUGACUCAUUUUUUGAUAAAGCUAUUAAGACAUUAGAUAAAAGGUAUGCUUAAUACAAAUGAAUGGAGUAAACAACUAAUGAGACUUAAGAAUUGGCCUUUGGUUUUAAAUAUUUAAUUUUUUCCUAUAAACCUUCUCAAUAAAAAU